GAUGAACGCUGGCGGCGUGCUUAACACAUGCAAGUCGAACGAUGAAGCUGGAGCUUGCUCUGGUGGAUUAGUGGCGAACGGGUGAGUAACACGUGAGCAACCUGCCCCUGACUCUGGGAUAACAGCCGGAAACGGCUGCUAAUACCGGAUAUGCACCAUGAACGCAUGUUCUGUGGUGGGAAAGAUUUUUCGGUUGGGGAUGGGCUCGCGGCCUAUCAGCUUGUUGGUGAGGUAAUGGCUCACCAAGGCGUCGACGGGUAGCCGGCCUGAGAGGGUGACCGGCCACACUGGGACUGAGACACGGCCCAGACUCCUACGGGAGGCAGCAGUGGUGAAUAUUGCACAAGGGGCGAAAGCCUGAUGCAGCAACGCCGCGUGAGGGAUGACGGCCUUCGGGUUGUAAACCUCUUUUAGCAGGGAAGAAGCGAGAGUGACGGUACCUGCAGAAAAAGCGCCGGCUAACUACGUGCCAGCAGCCGCGGUAAUAC
rnacentral:rRNA from 1 species